UAGGGAAUCUUCCACAAUGGACGCAAGUCUGAUGGAGCAACGCCGCGUGAGUGAAGAAGGUCUUCGGAUCGUAAAACUCUGUUGCUAGAGAAGAACACGAGUGAGAGUAACUGUUCAUUCGAUGACGGUAUCUAACCAGCAAGUCACGGCUAACUACGUGCCGG
rnacentral:rRNA from 1 species